rnacentral:tRNA from 1 species
CCGUGUGUAGCGCAACUGGUAGCGCAUCUGCUUUGGGAGCAGGCGGUUGCAGGUUCAAGUCCUGCCGCACGGACCA